ACGAACGCUGGCGGCGCGCCUAACCCAUGCAAGUCGAACGGAGCUGAGAGAAGCUUGCUUUUCUUAGCUUAGUGGCGAACGGGUGAGUAACGCGUGAGUAACCUGCCCUGGAGUGGGGGACAACAGUUGGAAACGACUGCUAAUACCGCAUAAGCCCACGAUCCGGCAUCGGAUUGAGGGAAAAGGAUUUAUUCGCUUCAGGAUGGACUCGCGUCCAAUUAGCUAGUUGGUGAGGUAACGGCCCACCAAGGCGACGAUUGGUAGCCGGACUGAGAGGUUGAACGGCCACAUUGGGACUGAGACACGGCCCAGACUCCUACGGGAGGCAGCAGUAGGGGAUAUUGCACAAUGGGGGAAACCCUGAUGCAGCGACGCCGCGUGGAGGAAGAAGGUUUUCGGAUUGUAAACUCCUGUCGUUAGGGACGAUAAUGACGGUACCUAACAAGAAAGCACCGGCUAACUACGUG
rnacentral:rRNA from 1 species